rnacentral:misc_RNA from 1 species
AAGUCGUAACAAGGUUUCCGUAGGUGAACCUGCGGAAGGAUCAUUACCAAAAAAUAGCCGAUCUCCGGCACGAGGCGGUGACGUCUCAGGCCGUGAUGGACGUGCUUCGACCCUUUGUGAACCCAAAAACCUUUCGCUUCGGCAGCUGGGGGUUGGCUGGGAACAGCCCUCCUGUGAGCCUGCCGUUAGCACCAACCUUUCCAAACUUGCAGUCGAACCUCUGUCUGACAAAAGAAUUUUCGAAUGAAAAUCAAAACUUUCAACAACGGAUCUCUUGGUUCCC